GCCAGGUACUCCUGUAAUCCCAGCCACUUAGGAGGCUGAGGCAGGAGGAUUGCAAGUUUGAGGCCAGCCUCAGCAAUUUAGCAAGAACCUGUCUCAA
rnacentral:sRNA from 1 species